rnacentral:rRNA from 1 species
UAGAAGUUUGAUUAUGGCUCCAGGAUGAACGCUGAGGGCGUGCCCUAAUACAUGCAAGUCGAGCGGACCAGACGAGAAGCUUUCUCCUCUGACGUUAGCGGCGGACCGGGUGAGUAACACGUGGAUAACCUACCUAAAAGACUGGGAUAAACUUCGGGAAACCGGAGCUAAUACCCGGAUAAUAUAUUGAACCGCAUGGUUCAAUAGUGAAAGACGGGUUUUGCUGUCACUUAUAGAUGGAUCCGCGCCGCAAUAAGCUAGUUGGUAAGGUAACGGCUUACCAAGGCAACGAUGCGUAGCCGACCUGAGAGGGUGAUCGGCCACACUGGAACUGAGACACGGUCCAGACUCCUACGGGAGGCAGCAGUAGGGAAUCUUCCGCAAUGGGCGAAAGCCUGACGGAGCAACGCCGCGUGAGUGAUGAAGGUCUUCGGAUCGUAAAACUCUGUUAUUAGGGAAGAACAAAUGUGUAAGUAACUAUGCACGUCUUGACGGUACCUAAUCAGAAAGCCACGGCUAACUACGUGCCAGCAGCCGCGGUAAUACGUAGGUGGCAAGCGUUAUCCGGAAUUAUUGGGCGUAAAGCGCGCGUAGGCGGUUUUUUAAGUCUGAUGUGAAAGCCCACGGCUCAACCGUGGAGGGUCAUUGGAAACUGGAAAACUUGAGUGCAGAAGAGGAAAGUGGAAUUCCAUGUGUAGCGGUGAAAUGCGCAGAGAUAUGGAGGAACACCAGUGGCGAAGGCGACUUUCUGGUCUGUAACUGACGCUGAUGUGCGAAAGCGUGGGGAUCAAACAGGAUUAGAUACCCUGGUAGUCCACGCCGUAAACGAUGAGUGCUAAGUGUUAGGGGGUUUCCGCCCCUUAGUGCUGCAGCUAACGCAUUAAGCACUCCGCCUGGGGAGUACGACCGCAAGGUUAAAACUCAAAUGAAUUGACGGGG